GUAAUGCUUGCAUACAUUUUUACAAUUCACAAUUGCUGGACAGCCUAUAACGGUAGUUGUUGAUAUAUAACGGGUGGUCCCGCCCGUAGUUGUUGAGUUUUCUAUUCUCUACCGUGAUUUUGUGCCGGGAAACUCGGGGAAACUGAAACAGACUAGCGCUCUGAAAUUUUCGAGAAUGUCCAUUCGACGAAGAGAAAACGGUUUAUGCUGCCAUUCCUUCUUAGACAUUCCGUCUAGAUGUAUGAGUUGAAAUAUUUUCAAACUGUUCACUACAAAGCAAACUGUACUCAGCACUGAGAAAUAAGGAAGAUGAGAUGAUGAUGAAGAGAAAAGCAAGAUAAGUGUAUUGUAUAGGCUGAGAUUAUAUGAUUGAAAAGAUGUGCAGCAAUUAUUAGAAAUUAUGUAGUGUCCCAAUUUUUAACCCGUUUUGUAUUUAGCUUCGAUCGCUACCCAAUCUUCUAAAUGAUUCGCCUUCAUAAAGUUGACAAUUUUGUCGGACUUUUCAACCUGUUUGGGUGUGCAUCCACUGCAACCCUCAUUUAGGAUUCGGGGCAGCAUUCC